AUGGAGAAAAUAAUAUGCUAUUCUUAUCAGCUUUUCUAUACUGAUGUACAGCCUGUUAGUUAUACAGUGUUGUUUAGAUAAUAGGGUCUCGCUAUGGUGGAUUAAGUUGGGACAUUUUAAAUAGAAAUAUCUGGAACUUUGGGUGUGUGGAAUUUAUUUUAUUUAGAUGGAAAUUCAAAGCUGUGUGACAUAUUAUAAGUAUGCUUUUAAUAAACUCAAAUCUACAUGUGGCUUGCAACUAAAGAUCUAGAUCAGUAUAACAAGCUACAUUGGGUUGAAUGUACUUACACGGCUGUCAGUUUUUAUGUAUUCAACUGUUAUUUUUUUUCUAUAGACAUAUUUUUUUGCUUAACUUUAUAUAAUACUAAUCAUAUUUAUGUAACUUGUAUUGCAAGCAAGUCAACAAAGGAUGAGAAUAUGUAUUCAUAGUGAAAAUAGGGCAAAUAAACAAAUACAUACACAAAAUUAUUACUAUUUAAUCUGCAGUUCAUUAUUUCUUCUUGUCUUGGACUCAUGCUCCUCCACAAUUACUACACUAACUGCAAUGCAACUUCUCAGUGUUGCCUCAAGUCAGUAGUGCCUGAAGAAUGAUUUUCACAUACAUCUAGAUAUUCUGCCGCACCGCAGUUCCACAAACAAGUCUCCCUAUCCCUAGGAAUUUCCCUAAAAUGUCUGCUUUCCUCAGUUCCUACACUACAAAAGUCCUCAGUGGUGACUACCUCAUUACAUUAAAGCAUGAAAGGUGCCUUAUAAGUAUGUGCUUCAGUUUUGCAGAAUUUACAUUUCAUAAAAUAUGUCUCACCCAUUGUGAAUUUUUUGCCAGUGUGCACAGUAAAUAUUGGUGCUAGAGCAGGUAACAAGGUUAUAUGACUUCUGCUUAAUCUCUCCACUGAAUAGUUAGUUCAUUGAGUUCUUUAAUUUACUACAAUGCUUAAAGCAUACUCCUGUUUCUAUACUGUUGAAUAGUAUUGUACAAGACAGCAAUUACUUCACACUAGUAACACAUCCUUUGGAGUUUGAAAUGUGAUUGCAUUAGUGAAGUUCCACUGAAUAUAUUUUAACAAAUUUAGUAAUGUUGAAUGUCAUGAAAUAUUUUUGUUUUAAAGUUUGUACUAUACAAUAAUAACUUAUCGUAUAGUGAAAAAUUACAUCUGUUUUACAAAGCAUAGCUGAAUUGUGACACACAUUUACAUUAUUACGGUACUAAGAGUUGGGUUUAGAUUUUGGCUGGGAUUAGAAGGAUAUCAAAGUGAAAUUGUUCCUGUGUAUGUGAUUUAGAAGUUUUGUUCUGUUUAUUGAUUAAAAAAAAACAUCUUUGAAUGAUAUUAUAGAUGCACUCUUUGCUGUGAAUAACAUUGUAAGAGUGAUUUAUAAGAGUGUAGUUUGGUUUGCAGAUUUUAUCUCAGUAAGUAUAACUUUCUAGUGAACAUUUUUCUCUUGAUCUACAUGCAAGAUGUGCCAAACUCAUGGCUAACUUUGAAAUACCCGGUUAAGUCGACAGCCUCAACAUUGUCUUCUUAAAAUCCCAGUUUUACUUGGUCAUUGAUUCUUGAAAGUUUAAACCUAGUUAGUGUUUGCAUAGAAAAUAUGAGCAAAUAAUUGUCAUUCAACUACUGAGUCAUGAUUUAUACACAUAAUUUUACUUAUACCAAGGUGUUAUUAUUUAUUAACAUGAAGUUUUGUUAAAGUUUGAUGUCAUGUUGCUGAAAUAAAUUUGAUUGUAAUAACAAAA